CCCGCUGAACUUAAGCAUAUCAAUAAGCGGAGGAAAAGAAACUAACAAGGAUUCCCCUAGUAACGGCGAGUGAAGCGGGAAGAGCUCAAAUUUAAAAUCUGGCGUAAAAGCCCGAAUUGUAGUCUAAAGAGGCGUUAUCGGACACGAGUUUGUUGUACAAGUUCCCUGGAAUGGGACAUCACAGAAGGUGAGAAUCCCGUCUGGACGAUGAACGAGUGGACAUAUGAGACGUUCUCAAAGAGUCGAGUUGUUUGGGAUUGCAGCUCAAAAUGGGAGGUAAAUUUCUUCUAAGGCUAAAUAAAGGCAAGAGACCGAUAGCAAACAAGUACCGUGAGGGAAAGAUGAAAAGCACCUUGAAAAGGGAGUUAAAAGCGCGUGAAAUUGUUAAAAGGGAAACGAUUGAAGCCAGUAGGCCCGUGGAGAGUUCAACGGUGUCCCAUCGAGUAUAGCUCCGAAAGAGAGUGCCUAAUCGUACCUCUAGCUGCGUACGUAGGUGAUCACCGUGCAUUCUUUCCAUGGAUAGUCAGUGCCAAUUUGGUGUGUUGUCGGAUAAGGACUUAGGAAAUAUGGCCAUCAUUCCGAUUUUGGCUUUAUAGCCCUAAGUAGAAACGAUGACCUGGAUUGGAAUCGACAACAGCUAACAGGAACGCAAUAUCUGCAGUUGUGGACGUUUGAGAAUCAGUCGAGUCUUGAACGGCAUCUAACUGGGAAAUGGUGUUUUGGAUGCUGUAGUGAGUACUGACGAAAUGGCUUUAAACGACCCGUCUUGAAACACGG
rnacentral:rRNA from 1 species